UACGUAGGGACCGAGCGUUGUCCGGAUUCAUUGGGCGUAAAGAGCUCGUAGGCGGCUGUUCAAGUCGAACGUGAAAACUCGGAGCUCAACUCCGAGCCUGCGUUCGAUACUGGAUGGCUAGAGUCUGGUAGGGGGAUCUGGAAUUCCUGGUGUAGCGGUGGAAUGCGCAGAUAUCAGGAAGAACACCAAUGGCGAAGGCAGCUCUCUGGGACGGUACUGACGCUGAGACGCGAAAGCGUGGGGAGCGAACAGG
rnacentral:rRNA from 1 species